GCACUGCUGAGGAGUCCCAUACCAGGACGAAACUGCCGUCCAGUGC
rnacentral:hammerhead_ribozyme from 3 species